rnacentral:rRNA from 1 species
GAUGAACGCUGGCGGCGUGCCUAAUACAUGCAAGUCGAGCGAACGGACGAGAAGCUUGCUUCUCUGAUGUUAGCGGCGGACGGGUGAGUAACACGUGGAUAACCUACCUAUAAGACUGGGAUAACUUCGGGAAACCGGAGCUAAUACCGGAUAAUAUUUUGAACCGCAUGGUUCAAAAGUGAAAGACGGUCUUGCUGUCACUUAUAGAUGGAUCCGCGCUGCAUUAGCUAGUUGGUAAGGUAACGGCCUACCAAGGCAACGAUGCAUAGCCGACCUGAGAGGGUGAUCGGCCACACUGGAACUGAGACACGGUCCAGACUCCUACGGGAGGCAGCAGUAGGGAAUCUUCCGCAAUGGGCGAAAGCCUGACGGAGCAACGCCGCGUGAGUGAUGAAGGUCUUCGGAUCGUAAAGCUCUGUUAUUAGGGAAGAACAUAUGUGUAAGUAACUGUGCACAUCUUGACGGUACCUAAUCAGAAAGCCACGGCUAACUACGUG